UACGUAGGGGGCAAGCGUUGUCCGGAAUCAUUGGGCGUAAAGCGUGUGUAGGCGGUCCGGUAAGUCGGCUGUGAAAGUCAAGGGCUCAACCCUUGAAUGCCGACCGAUACUGUCGGGCUAGAGUCCGGAAGAGGUGAGUGGAAUUCCUGGUGUAGCGGUGAAAUGCGCAGAUAUCAGGAGGAACAUCAGUGGCGAAAGCGACUUCCUGGACCAAUACUGACGCUCAUGUGCGAAAGCGUGGGGAGCAAACCGG
rnacentral:rRNA from 1 species